UACGUAGGGUGCGAGCGUUGUCCGGAAUUAUUGGGCGUAAAGAGCUCGUAGGCGGUUUGUUGCGUCUAUCGUGAAAACCUGCGGCUUAACUGUGGGCUUGCGGUGGAUACGGGCAGACUUGAGUUCGGUAGGGGAGACUGGAAUUCCUGGUGUAGCGGUGAAAUGCGUAGAUAUCAGGAGGAACACCUGCGGUGUAGACGGCUUACUGGCCCGAUACUGACGCUGAGGCACGAAAGCGUGGGGAGCAAACAGG
rnacentral:rRNA from 1 species